rnacentral:rRNA from 1 species
UGGGGAAUUUGGACAAUGGGCGAAAGCCUGAUCCAGCAAUGCCGCGUGUGUGAAGAAGGCCUUCGGGUUGUAAAGCACUUUUGUCCGGAAAGAAAUCCUUGGCUCUAAUACAGUCGGGGGAUGACGGUACCGGAAGAAUAAGCACCGGCUAACUACGUGCCAGCAGCCGCGGUAAUACGUAGGGUGCAAGCGUUAAUCGGAAUUACUGGGCGUAAAGCGUGCGCAGGCGGUUUGCUAAGACCGAUGUGAAAUCCCCGGGCUCAACCUGGGAACUGCAUUGGUGACUGGCAGGCUAGAGUAUGGCAGAGGGGGGUAGAAUUCCACGUGUAGCAGUGAAAUGCGUAGAGAUGUGGAGGAAUACCGAUGGCGAAGGCAGCCCCCUGGGCCAAUACUGACGCUCAUGCACGAAAGCGUGGGGAGCAAACAGGAUUAGAUACCCUGGUAGUCCACGCCCUAAACGAUGUCAACUAGUUGUUGGGGAUUCAUUUCCUUAGUAACGUAGCUAACGCGUGAAGUUGACCGCCUGGGGAGUACGGUCGCAAGAUUAAAACUCAAAGGAAUUGACGGGGUCAUA